AACGAACGCUGGCGGCAUGCCUAACACAUGCAAGUCGAACGAGACCUUCGGGUCUAGUGGCGCACGGGUGCGUAACGCGUGGGAACCUGCCCUUAGGUUCGGAAUAACUCCCCGAAAGGGGUGCUAAUACCGGAUAAUGUCUUCGGACCAAAGAUUUAUCGCCUUUGGAUGGGCCCGCGUUGGAUUAGCUAGUUGGUAGGGUAAAAGCCUACCAAGGCGACGAUCCAUAGCUGGUCUGAGAGGAUGAUCAGCCACACUGGGACUGAGACACGGCCCAGACUCCUACGGGAGGCAGCAGUAGGGAAUAUUGGACAAUGGGCGAAAGCCUGAUACAGCAAUGCCGCGUGAGUGAUGAAGGCCUUAGGGUUGUAAAGCUCUUUUACCCGGGAUGAUAAUGACAGUACCGGGAGAAUAAGCUCCGGCUAACUACGUG
rnacentral:rRNA from 1 species